AGCCCAUGGUAAAGGAAUCUUCUCAAGAGGUCCUUGUAUCUCUCCUAUGCAUCAUAGAGUGUUUCUAGAUCCAUUUGCACAAAAGAAGAGAUGACAUUCCUUAACUU
rfam:Gossypium hirsutum cultivar TM-1 chromosome 16, whole genome shotgun sequence